GAGUUUGAUCGUGGCUCAGAUUGAACGCUGGCGGCAGGCCUAACACAUGCAAGUCGAGCGGUAGAGAGAAGCUUGCUUCUCUUGAGAGCGGCGGACGGGUGAGUAAUGCCUAGGAAUCUGCCUGGUAGUGGGGGAUAACGCUCGGAAACGGACGCUAAUACCGCAUACGUCCUACGGGAGAAAGCAGGGGACCUUCGGGCCUUGCGCUAUCAGAUGAGCCUAGGUCGGAUUAGCUAGUUGGUGAGGUAAUGGCUCACCAAGGCGACGAUCCGUAACUGGUCUGAGAGGAUGAUCAGUCACACUGGAACUGAGACACGGUCCAGACUCCUACGGGAGGCGAGCAGUGGGGAAUAGUUGGUACAAUGGGCGGAAAGACCUGAUCCAGCCAUGCCGCGUGUGUGAAGAAGGUCUUCGGAUUGUAAAGCACUUUAAGUUGGGAGGAAGGGCAGUAAAGUUAAU
rnacentral:rRNA from 1 species